UUUGUACAUUGGGGGUGCCCAUUAUGGCUGAGAGGAUAACCCAACCCUUUGAACCUGAUCUCAUUCGUCUGAGCGGAGGAAAAUGUGUCUAUUGUUUU
rnacentral:ncRNA from 1 species